rnacentral:tRNA from 1 species
AUUUAAAUAGUUUAUUUAAAAUAUUGAUUUGUGGUGUCAAUGAUAUGACUUUGUCAUUUUAGAUC